rnacentral:misc_RNA from 1 species
UCCAGCAGCCGCGGUAAUACGUUCCCGGGCCUUGUACACACCGCCCGUCACACCACGAGAGUUUGUAACACCCGAAGUCGGUGGGGUAACCGUAAGGAGCCAGCCGCCUAAGGUGGGACAGAUGAUUGGGGUGAAGUCGUAACAAGGUAGCCGUAUCGGAAGGUGCGGCUGGAUCACCUCCUUUCUAAGGAAUAUAUGUGACUUUUUGUCACAAGAAUAAUAUAACUGGCGUUAAUGAUUUGGUGUUUAGUUUUGAGAGAGCAAUCUCUCCAAUGGCAAUGGAUAUUGCUAUUUUUGUUCCUUGAAAACUAGAUAAUCGUAUAGAAGAAAACCAAGUAAAACCGAGUUUGAAUAAUGACAUUUCAUUAUUCAUUAAUCGCCAUUUUAGUUUUUCUCUCUUAUUUAGUUAAGAGAAUUAACCUUUAGGUUAAGUUAGUAAGGGCGCACGGUGGAUACCUAGGCACACAGAGAAUCAGAG